rnacentral:rRNA from 1 species
GGCCGGUCGGCAGCUAUACAUGCAGUCGAACGACUCUGGUAUUGAUUGGUGCUUGCAUCAUGAUUUACAUUUGAGUGAGUGGCGAACUGGUGAGUAACACGUGGGAAACCUGCCCAGAAGCGGGGGAUAACACCUGGAAACAGAUGCUAAUACCGCAUAACAACUUGGACCGCAUGGUCCGAGCUUGAAAGAUGGCUUCGGCUAUCACUUUUGGAUGGUCCCGCGGCGUAUUAGCUAGAUGGUGGGGUAACGGCUCACCAUGGCAAUGAUACGUAGCCGACCUGAGAGGGUAAUCGGCCACAUUGGGACUGAGACACGGCCCAAACUCCUACGGGAGGCAGCAGUAGGGAAUCUUCCACAAUGGACGAAAGUCUGAUGGAGCAACGCCGCGUGAGUGAAGAAGGGUUUCGGCUCGUAAAACUCUGUUGUUAAAGAAGAACAUAUCUGAGAGUAACUGUUCAGGUAUUGACGGUAUUUAACCAGAAAGCCACGGCUAACUACGUGCCAGCAGCCGCGGUAAUACGUAGGUGGCAAGCGUUGUCCGGAUUUAUUGGGCGUAAAGCGAGCGCAGGCGGUUUUUUAAGUCUGAUGUGAAAGCCUUCGGCUCAACCGAAGAAGUGCAUCGGAAACUGGGAAACUUGAGUGCAGAAGAGGACAGUGGAACUCCAUGUGUAGCGGUGAGAUGCGUAGAUAUAUGGAAGAACACCAGUGGCGAAGGCGGCUGUCUGGUCUGUAACUGACGCUGAGGCUCGAAAGUAUGGGUAGCAAACAGGAUUAGAUACCCUGGUAGUCCAUACCGUAAACGAUGAAUGCUAAGUGUUGGAGGGGUUUCCGCCCUUCAGUGCUGCAGCUAACGCAUUAAGCAUUCCGCCUGGGGAGUACGGCCGCAAGGCUGAAACUCAAAGGAAGUGACGGGGCCCGCACAAGCGUGGAGCAUGUGUUUAAUUCUAAGCUACGCGAAGAUCGUUAGCACGUCUUGACGUACUGUGCUAAUCGUAAGAUCAGACGAUACACUUGCGCGACAUCGAUACAGGUGGUGCAUGGUUGUCAGUCGAGCUCUUGUCAUGACGAGUUCUG